rnacentral:rRNA from 1 species
GACGAACGCUGGCGGCGUGCUUAACACAUGCAAGUCGAACGGAAAGGCCCUGCUUUUGUGGGGUGCUCGAGUGGCGAACGGGUGAGUAACACGUGAGUAACCUGCCCUUGACUUUGGGAUAACUUCAGGAAACUGGGGCUAAUACCGGAUAGGAGCUCCUGCUGCAUGGUGGGGGUUGGAAAGUUUCGGCGGUUGGGGAUGGACUCGCGGCUUAUCAGCUUGUUGGUGGGGUAGUGGCUUACCAAGGCUUUGACGGGUAGCCGGCCUGAGAGGGUGACCGGCCACAUUGGGACUGAGAUACGGCCCAGACUCCUACGGGAGGCAGCAGUGGGGAAUAUUGCACAAUGGGCGGAAGCCUAAUGCAGCAACGCCGCGUGCGGGAUGACGGCCUUCGGGUUGUAAACCGCUUUCGCCCGUGACGAAGCGUGAGUGACGGUAAUGGGUAAAGAAGCACCGGCUAACUACGU